rnacentral:rRNA from 1 species
UACGUAGGGUGCGAGCGUUGUCCGGAAUUAUUGGGCGUAAAGAGCUUGUAGGCGGUUUGUCGCGUCUGCUGUGAAAAUCCGGGGCUCAACCCCGGACUUGCAGUGGGUACGGGCAGACUAGAGUUCGGUAGGGGAGACUGGAAUUCCUGGUGUAGCGGUGAAAUGCGCAGAUAUCAGGAGGAACACCGGUGGCGAAGGCGGGUCUCUGGGCCGAUACUGACGCUGAGGAGCGAAAGCGUGGGGAGCGAACAGG